AUUAGAGCCUUAGUAGUAUAGUUAAUACACUGGUCUUG
rnacentral:tRNA from 1 species